AUUGAACGCUGGCGGCAGGCCUAACACAUGCAAGUCGAACGGUAACAGGAAGCAGCUUGCUGCUUCGCUGACGAGUGGCGGACGGGUGAGUAAUGUCUGGGAAACUGCCUGAUGGAGGGGGAUAACUACUGGAAACGGUAGCUAAUACCGCAUAACGUCGCAAGACCAAAGAGGGGGACCUUCGGGCCUCUUGCCAUCGGAUGUGCCCAGAUGGGAUUAGCUAGUAGGUGGGGUAACGGCUCACCUAGGCGACAAUCCCUAGCUGGUCUGAGAGGAUGACCAGCCACACUUGAACUGAGACACGGUCCAGACUCCUACGGGAGGCAGCAGUGGGGAAUAUUGCACAAUGGGCGCAAGCCUGAUGCAGCCAUGCCGCGUGUAUGAAGAAGGCCUUCGGGUUGUAAAGUACUUUCAGCGGGGAGGAAGGGAGUAAAGUUAAUACCUUUGCUCAUUGACGUUACCCGCAGAAGAAGCACCGGCUAACUCCGUGCCAGCCGCCGCAGUAA
rnacentral:rRNA from 1 species